rnacentral:rRNA from 1 species
UACGGGGGGGGGCAAGCGUUUGUUCGGAAUUACUGGGCGUAAAGGGCUCGUAGGCGGCCAACUAAGUCAGACGUGAAAUCCCUCGGCUCAACCGGGGAACUGCGUCUGAUACUGGAUGGCUUGAGUUCGGGAGAGGGAUGCGGAAUUCCAGGUGUAGCGGUGAAAUGCGUAGAUAUCUGGAGGAACACCGGUGGCGAAGGCGGCAUCCUGGACCGACACUGACGCUGAGGAGCGAAAAGCGUGGGUAGCGAACAGG